AUUGAACGCUGGCGGAAUGCUUUACACAUGCAAGUCGAACGGCAGCACGAGGGCAACCUUGGUGGCGAGUGGCGAACGGGUGAGUAAUACAUCAGAACGUGCCCAGUCGUGGAGGAUAACGUAGCGAAAGCUACGCUAAUACCGCAUACGAUCUAUGGAUGAAAGCGGGGGACCGUAAGGCCUCGCGCGAUUGGAGCGGCCGAUGGCAGAUUAGGUAGUUGGUGGGGUAAAGGCUCACCAAGCCUGCGAUCUGUAGCUGGUCUGAGAGGACGACCAGCCACACUGGAACUGAGACACGGUCCAGACUCCUACGGGAGGCAGCAGUGGGGAAUUUUGGACAAUGGGCGCAAGCCUGAUCCAGCCAUUCCGCGUGCAGGAUGAAGGCCU
rnacentral:rRNA from 1 species